CCGCAAGUUUGCAGUGCGACCAGUCUGCCAAGCGUGACCUUCCAGGGCCAAGGGGGAGGAGGGCUGAGAGCUGGCGAUCACCACUAGAAAGCUAAACAAAUAACCGGCCGAGAGAGAAAGCCGAGGCGCUUCUCCAGGGCCCCGGGCUCCGCGCGCGCGCGCGCUCGCUCGCUCGUUUUCCAUCCCAACGCCUGGAGGAAAAUCCACUGUCUACCCCGCGCGUCCGGCGCAGCCCCGGUCCCUGAGUUCCCGGGCAGCGGCAGCCAAGGGGUUAACCGGGGAAAGCCCAAGACGCCACAGAAGAGGGAAGGAAGAGGGAGAGAGAGAAAAGAAAGAGCCACACAGUCAUCUUCCCAGGCCCUGCUUGGAAAGAAAGCUCUCCCCAACAUCACAAGGCAGCAAACUGAAAGCAAGAACAUGGCGAAAGACGAUUUGACAUCAGCUAAAUCCCUCUCUGCCGAGGAGUUUUCGGAGCUCUUCUCCUCCUGUUCGCCCUCGUCUUUGAAGGAAA